rnacentral:rRNA from 1 species
GACGAACGCUGGCGGCGUGCCUAAUACAUGCAAGUAGAACGCUGAAGGAGGAGCUUGCUUCUCUGGAUGAGUUGCGAACGGGUGAGUAACGCGUAGGUAACCUGCCUGGUAGCGGGGGAUAACUAUUGGAAACGAUAGCUAAUACCGCAUAAUAGUAGAUGUUGCAUGACAUUAGCUUAAAAGGUGCAAUUGCAUCACUACCAGAUGGACCUGCGUUGUAUUAGCUAGUUGGUGAGGUAACGGCUCACCAAGGCAACGAUACAUAGCCGACCUGAGAGGGUGAUCGGCCACACUGGGACUGAGACACGGCCCAGACUCCUACGGGAGGCAGCAGUAGGGAAUCUUCGGCAAUGGACGGAAGUCUGACCGAGCAACGCCGCGUGAGUGAAGAAGGUUUUCGGAUCGUAAAGCUCUGUUGUAAGAGAAGAACGAGUGUGAGAGUGGAAAGUUCACACUGUGACGGUAUCUUACCAGAAAGGGACGGCUAACUACGUG